rnacentral:rRNA from 1 species
CCUACGGGUGGCAGCAGUGAGGAAUAUUGGUCAAUGGGCGAGAGCCUGAACCAGCCAAGUCGCGUGAAGGAUGACGGCGCUACGGGUUGUAAACUUCGUUUGUCAGGGAGCGAUUGGGUCCACGCGUGGGCUUAGCGAGAGUACCUGAAGACAAAGCAUCGACUAACUCCGUGCCCGCAGCCGCGGUAAUACGGAGGAGGCGAGCGUUAUCGGGAUUUAUUUGGUUUAAGGGGUUCGUCGGCGGAAUAGCAAGUCCGCGGUCAAACUUCGGGGCUCAACCCCGUCGUGGCGUUGAAACUGAUGUUCGUGAGUGUGCUAGAAGUAUGCGGAAUGAGUGGUGUAGCGGUGAAAUGCAUAGAGAUCACGCAGAACUCCGAUUGCGAAGGCAGCAUACCGGCGCCCAACUGACGCUGAAGCACGAAAGCGUGGGUAUCGAACAGGAUUAGAUACCCGAGUAGUC